ensembl:lncRNA
GUUUCUCAACAAUUUGACAGUCCAGAAGGGGGUUAACCAUCUAAAGCAUCGAUGAGAAAGCGACUGCAGCCAGAAUCCUAAAGAUUGUGGAAGGUUUACUACAAAAAGCGUGAAAACAGACCUGCAGACACCUUCAAGAAAUACAAAAACAACUCGAAGCAUUGAGUGGCUUACCACAACCCUCAACAAGUAAGCCGUCCCUGGAUGGGUGUUCUCCAAAAGGACCAAAGUGGGUUAAACCCACAAUAAAAACGCCUGCGAUAGAGUCCACAUCCAAGGAUACGUGGGGAGGGCUGUGGUAUCCAUCAGAAGGCCCCGCGGUGUUUAAACCUUCAAUAAAAAGGCCUGCGUUAGCUCCCACCCGUCAGGACACCAGGGGAGGUAAUAAAGUUGUUAGUGCGUGUGUAAUGUAUUGUAAUAAUAUCUCUAUCCACUUCAUAUAACUUUAAAAAAAGUUUUUACACAGGUCUAUGGUUCCCUCCCAAAACACAAGCAAAAGGUUAAACACAAAAAAGGUUUAAAGACAGCCUUUGGCGGCGUGGACUACACCGAAUGAAGAGCCGGAACUUUUUACCCCAAGAUACGACAACCUAAUAAGCGAUGAGGAAUUAAUACGCCGUGUUGAGGCCCU